rnacentral:rRNA from 1 species
UACGGGGGGGGCAAGCGUUGUUCGGAAUUACUGGGCGUAAAGGGUUCGUAGGUGGCCUGCUAAGUCAGACGUGAAAGCCCCCGGCUCAACCGGGGAGGGUCGUCGGGGACUGGCGGGCUUGAGGGCGGCAGGGGUUGGUGGAAUUCCCGGUGUAGUGGUGAAAUGCGUAGAGAUCGGGAGGAACACCCGUGGCGAAGGCGGCCAACUGGGCCGGACCUGACGCUGAGGCGCGAAGGCGUGGGGAGCGAACGGG